rnacentral:rRNA from 1 species
GGUGGUUCUGAAUGGAAGGGCCAUCGCUCAACGGAUAAAAGGUACUCCGGGGAUAACAGGCUGAUACCGCCCAAGAGUUCAUAUCGACGGCGGUGUUUGGCACCUCGAUGUCGGCUCAUCACAUCCUGGGGCUGAAGUAGGUCCCAAGGGUAUGGCUGUUCGCCAUUUAAAGUGGUACGCGAGCUGGGUUUAGAACGUCGUGAGACAGUUCGGUCCCUAUCUGCCGUGGGCGCUGGAGAACUGAGGGGGGCUGCUCCUAGUACGAGAGGACCGGAGUGGACGCAUCACUGGUGUUCGGGUUGUCAUGCCAAUGGCACUGCCCGGUAGCUAAAUGCGGAAGAGAUAAGUGCUGAAAGCAUCUAAGCACGAAACUUGCCCCGAGAUGAGUUCUCCCUGACUCCUUGAGAGUCCUGAAGGAACGUUGAAGACGACGACGUUGAUAGGCCGGGUGUGUAAGCGCAGCGAUGCGUUGAGCUAACCGGUACUAAUGAACCGUGAGGCUUAACCUUACAACGCCGAAG